rnacentral:rRNA from 1 species
GUUUUACCUUGACGAAUUGUAGUUUAAAGAAGUGUUUUCUGUUGGUGUUUUGGUAAAAGUUCUUUGGAAUAGGACAUCAUAGAGGGUGAGAAUCCCGUAUUUGACCAUUACUUCCAGCGUUGUGAUACACUUUCAAAGAGUCGGAUUGUUUGGGAAUGCAGUCCAAAAUGGGUGGUAAAUUUCAUCUAAAGCUAAAUAUUGGCGAGAGACCGAUAGCGAACAAGUACCGUGAGGGAAAGAUGAAAAGAACUUUGAAAAGAGAGUUAAACAGUACGUGAAAUUGUCAAAAGGGAAGCGUUUGACACCAGUGUUGUUUUCUCGAAAAUCAAUUAAAAAGAGUUGGAUUUUGUAUUGUUAAGACCUUAUCAGCUUACUGUACUUUUUUCUUGCUCUUUUU